AGACAUAGGCCUUGAAGCAAACCUACUGCCAGUAGCUGAUCUUCAGUCUCUGCAAAACUUGGAGAGCGAUUGAUAAAAUUUCCUGACUUUCAAAAGCAAUUGAAGAAAGAAACUCAUACAGGUAUGGAACAAGUGGAGAUAAGCAUGUUGGCAAUGAAAGGUGGGACAGACACCAGAGAUGGAGUUUGGAGAAUAAUGACAGCAACAAUCACAAACUCCCUGGCCAAGAAUAUAAAUAUGCGUGGUGUUAAUGGGAAGAUCAGCUUUAAAAGCUUGCAGUUACGAAACAUUGUUCUUGCUGCUGUGAGAAAAAAUCGCCUCACACAACAUGCCACCGAUCAGGAGAUUGAAUCAACCAUUCAAAGAUGGCUUCAGCUUGCUCCUGAUCAAGAUGGAGGAAGGAGAGAGCGCUUAAGGAAAAAAGAGGCCCAAAUAGGAUCACU